GACGCGGGCCGUGACUGGCGCUGAGGUGGAGCACCACCGGGGAGCGGCCUGACACCGGUUGUCGAUGCCGCGCGCCUGGGCGACUCAU
rnacentral:ncRNA from 2 species